rnacentral:lncRNA from 1 species
AUAUAGAACUUAACUUUAUAUAUUUGAAUAUUUUCAUUAUGAAACCCUCUCUACCCUUUCAAUACGACUUUAAAACCAUUAUACACAACCCCACAAGCCACACCAACCUCACACCUACCACUCACCCUUCCUAACGCCGUCUAACACACCGUUACGCGUUUUCAUAACACAACUAAACAAACCGUUAACUCCGUUAGUCAACAUAUCAACACCAUCGGAAAACUUCUCCACCGCCGCCCUGAGCUCCUUAACGCCGUCCUCCAAUCGACUCCGUCGCUCAUCGCCGCCGUCUCCGUCGCCAACGGCGGCGACUUCAUCGAUCACAUCACACACCGCCACUGCUCUGGUUGCAGCAUCUUCAACCUCCAACAACCUUUUCGGCUUUAUCAGGUCAAAAACUCGUUUCUUCACUCCGUUGACCGAGUCAACCCACCGGAACUCAGUCGGAACUCGGACUUCAACCAGAUCUGACUGUCCGUACAGUACGGAACCCAAAACACUGUUUACAAAAACGGUUAUUGUUCCGAGACCAUGCAAAGUGUGCCGGAUCAUAUCUCUAGCAUCUAGGGUUUUGAGAUGAAUAAUUACCUUUUCAUCGAAAUUUUUAGCUGCGAGUUGGUAGUUUUUUGACGGUUUUUUGCCGGUUAACUUGAAAUGAGAAGUUAGAUGAGUUUUUUCGACGAGAAACAUACUUACAGUUGUAGACUUAUAGGAACGGUUGAAUGAAGUUGCCGGAAAAGAUAGGUCGUCGCCGGAGACGAUGAGUUUUUUUUUUUUUUUUUUUGCCGGAUUUAUUUGUUAGCAGAUUUUUUUUUUCUUUCUGGUUUUGAAUUUGAUUUUUCGGCAGGGGAUAAUGAUUUUGGUUUUAAGGAUUUAUAAUUUGUGAAAGACGUGUGAAUAAGUAUACGGGCUUCGGGGAAGAUAAGGAACGUUGUGAAAUACCUGAAUUGCCCUUUAUUGACCGUUAGGUGGAAAUUGCCUUUUUUUUUUUUAAUUGUGGGUCCAUAGCGAUUGAUUAUCAAUUUAGUAUCUGAAUUAUUGGUCUUUCUACAUAAAAUGACUGAAAGGUUUUAACUAUUUUUAUUUUUAAACGAAAAAAUCUCAUUUAUAUAUUGAAUGAUUCU